CAAUAGCGUAUAUUAAAGUUGUUGCAGUUAAAAAGCUCGUAGUUGGAUUUCUGGUCGAAGCGACCGGUCGGGCGUUGAUUCGUCUGCACUGGAGUCGGUUUUGGCCAUCCUCUAGGAAAGUGCGUCUGGUAUUAAGUUAUCGGGCGUAUGAUCCUGGUCUUUUACUGUGAAAAAAUUAGAGUGUUUAAAGCAGGCCUUCGCCUUGAAUACAUUAGCAUGGAAUAAUAAGAUAGGACUUUGGUCUAUUUUGUUGGUUUGCAGACCGAAGUAAUGAUUAAUAGGGAUAGUUGGGGGUAUUUAUAUUCCGAUGUCAGAGGUGAAAUUCUUAGAUUUUCGGAAGAUAAACUUAUGCGAAAGCAUUUACCAAGGAUGUUUUCAUUAA
rnacentral:rRNA from 1 species